CGGGAUUGAAGCUUGCUUCAAUUGCCGGCGACCGGCGCACGGGUGCGUAACGCGUAUGUAACCUACCUAUAACAGGGGCAUAACACUGAGAAAUUGGUACUAAUUCCCCAUAAUAUUCGGAGAGGCAUCUCUCCGGGUUGAAAACUCCGGUGGUUAUAGAUGGACAUGCGUUGUAUUAGCUAGUUGGUGAGGUAACGGCUCACCAAGGCAACGAUACAUAGGGGGACUGAGAGGUUAACCCCCCACACUGGUACUGAGACACGGACCAGACUCCUACGGGAGGCAGCAGUGAGGAAUAUUGGUCAAUGGACGCAAGUCUGAACCAGCCAUGCCGCGUGCAGGAAGACGGCUCUAUGAGUUGUAAACUGCUUUUGUACGAGGGUAAACUCACCUACGUGUAGGUGACUGAAAGUAUCGUACGAAUAAGGAUCGGCUAACUCCGUGCCAGCAGCCGCGGUAAUACGGAGGAUUCAAGCGUUAUCCGGAUUUAUUGGGUUUAAAGGGUGCGUAGGCGGUUUGAUAAGUUAGAGGUGAAAUCCCGGGGCUUAACUCCGGAACUGCCUCUAAUACUGUUAGACUAGAGAGUAGUUGCGGUAGGCGGAAUGUAUGGUGUAGCGGUGAAAUGCUUAGAGAUCAUACAGAACACCGAUUGCGAAGGCAGCUUACCAAACUAUAUCUGACGUU
rnacentral:rRNA from 1 species